AUAGCCUAACGGCUGAACCAGCAACUUGGAGGAAUGUAUAGCGAUAGCUAAUUGCAUCUAAAAUAUGAUGCAAGAUCGAUUUAUUGAAUAAAAUUCUGGGUAGAAUUAUGAUUAUGACAUUGUCUACCCAUGUGUCUUGACCAAAUUACGUGCCAGCAGUCGCGGUAAUACGUAGAAGACUAGUGUUAUUCAUCUUUAAUAGGUUUAAAGGGUACCUAGACGGUAAAUCAAGCCCUAGACGGGACUAAUUUGCUAGAGUUACUUGUGAGGGGGUUUUAAAGUACUAAUGGUGUAGAGAUGAAAUUUUGUAAUACCAUUUUUCGAAAGGAAAGUAAUGGCACAGGUAUAGGCGAAAGCAUCCCCUUAUGUGAUAACUGACGUUGAAGGACGAAGGCUUUGAGUCGCGAACAGGAUUAGAUACCCUGGUAGUCAAAGCAGAAAAUAAUGAGUGUCAUAGAUUAGAUAUUAAAGUUUAUUCUAUAAAUGAAAGUGUAAGCACUCCACCUCAAGAGUAAUUUGGCAACAUUGGAACUGAAAUCAUUAGACCGUUUCUGAAACCAGUAGUGAAGUAUGUUGUUUAAUUUGAUAAUCCGCAAAAAACCUUACCACAAUUUGAAUAUUUAUAUCGUUGAUAUAAUUACAAGCGUUGCACGGCUGUCUUCAGUUAAUGUCGUGAGAUUUUGGUUAGAUCCAUUAAAUUAACGCAAGCCCUUACUUUAUUUUAAAAUAAAGUCGUUCCCCACUAGAUUGGAUAAGAUAACAGGGAUUAAGACAAGUCAUCAUGGCCUGAAUAUUGUGGGCUAU
rnacentral:rRNA from 1 species